rnacentral:rRNA from 1 species
UACAGGGGGUGCAAACGUUGCUCGGAAUCAUUGGGCGUAAAGCGCACGUAGGCGGUUCGUUAUGUCGGAUGUGAAAGCCCUUGGCUUAACCGAGGAAGUGCAUCCGAAACUGGCGAGCUAGAGUACGAAAGAGGAUCGCGGAAUUCCCGGUGUAGAGGUGAAAUUCGUAGAUAAUCGGGAGGAACACCGGUGGCGAAGGCGGCGAUCUGGGUCGAUACUGACGCUGAGGUGCGAAGGCGUGGGGAGCGAACGGG